CCACUCGCACGGAGACUGGCAACGUGCGGGCUGUCGGGCCCUGGAGGACCGGUGGGUGGCUGGGGCAGGAGCCCGUUCACGCAGCCUGGACACUGGAGCCAGUAACCCUCGAACCCAACCAAGACGUGCUCCCAGACCCUGAAGACAGAGAAGGGACCUCUGGUCAACAGCGUCUUUCUAGAGAACCUGGGGGCCCUGGACAGCGUUGCAUCAGACCAGAAAGAUGAACCGGACCUGUCUUGGUUUUGCUCAACACCAGUCCUGAGGGCUGUGCCAUGACUGUGAGACUUGAACUUCAGAGGCUAUAAACUGCAAGCUCCAGGACCCCUGUGCUGAACUGUGUUUUAAAAGUUGAUUGAACACUAUUGCCAUAGAUUAUGCAAUGCAAUAACUGUGCUUAACUCAAGAACAUUUAGCACAAGGGGUGACCUUGGUAAAUGUUGUGCAAUUCGGUCGAGACCCUGACAGUAUUUUUUUAAAAAUGACAAUACAAAAAUAG